rnacentral:rRNA from 1 species
AUUGAACGCUGGCGGCAUGCCUUACACACGCAAGUCGAACGGUAACGCGGGGCAACCUGGCGACGAGUGGCGAACGGGUGAGUAAUGUAUCGGAACGUGCCCAGUUGUGGGGGAUAACUGCUCGAAAGAGCAGCUAAUACCGCAUACGACCUGAGGGUGAAAGCGGGGGAUCGCAAGACCUCGCGCAAUUGGAGCGGCCGAUAUCAGAAUAGGUAGUUGGUUGGGUAAAGGCUCAACAAGACACCGAUCUGUAGCUGGUCUGAGAGGACGACAAGCCAAACUGCGACUGAGACACGGCCCAGACUCAUACGGGAGGCGGCAGAGGAGAAUUUGUGACAAUGGACGCAAGUCUGAUCCAGUCAUGCCGCGUGCGGGAAGAAGGCCUUCGGGUUGUAAACCGCUUUUGUCAGGGAAGAAACGCUCUGGGUUAAUACCUCGGGGUAAUGACGGUACCUGAAGAAUAAGCACCGGCUAACUACGUGCCAGCCGCCGCAGUAAAAC